rnacentral:rRNA from 1 species
GACGAACGCUGGCGGCGUGCUUAACACAUGCAAGUCGAACGGAAAGGUCCUGCUUUUGUGGGGUGCUCUAGUGGCGAACGGGUGAUUAACACUUGAGUAACCUGCCCUUGACUUUGGUAUAACUUCAGGAAACUGGGGCUCAUACCGGAUAGGAGCUCCUGCUGCAUGGUGGGGGUUGGAAAGUUUCGGCGGUUGGGGAUGGACUCGCGGCGUAUCAGCUUGUUGGUGGGGUAGUGGAUUACCAAGGCUUUGACGGGUAGCCGGGCUGAGAGGGUGACCGGCCACACUGGGACUGAAAUAAGGCCCAGACUACUACGGGAGGCAGCAGUGGGGAAUAGUGUACAAUGGGCGGAAGCCUGAUGCAGCAAAGCAGCGUGCGGGAUGACGGCCUGCGGGUUGGAAUCCGCUUUCGCCUGUGACGAAGCGUGAGUGACGGUAAUGGGUAAAGAAGCACCGGCUAACUACGUG